UACGUAGGAGGCGAGCGUUGUCCGGAUUUACUGGGCGUAAAGAGCGCGCAGGCGGCAUGUCAAGUAAGGUGUGAAAUCGCUCGGCUCAACUGGGCGGGGUCAGCGGAUACGGCGUGGCUGGAGCAAGCUAGGGGGCAAUGGAAUUCCCGGUGUAGUGGUGGAAUGCGUAGAUAUCGGGAGGAACACCAGUGGCGAAGGCGGUUGCCUGGAGCUUUGCUGACGCUGAUGCGCGAAAGCGUGGGGAGCGAGUCCGG
rnacentral:rRNA from 1 species